rnacentral:tRNA from 1 species
GGAAAAGUUGCUAUAGGUAAAGCGAGAUAUUUGCUAAAUAUUGUGCGUAUUGUACUUGGAUGUUCGAAUCAUCUCUUUUCCG